rnacentral:rRNA from 1 species
GACGAACGCUGGCGGCGUGCCUAAUACAUGCAAGUCGAACGCACUGACAGAGAAACUUGUUUCUCUUGACGUGAGUGGCGCACGGGUGAGUAACACGUGGGAAACCUACCCUUCAGCGGGGGAUAACCGUCGGAAACGAUGGCUAAUACCGCAUAGGUCUUUUAACCACCUGGUUGAAAGAGGAAAGACGGCUUCGGCUGUCACUGAAGGAUGGUCCCGCGGUGCAUUAGCUAGUUGGUAAGGUAACGGCUUACCAAGGCGAUGAUGCAUAGCCGACCUGAGAGGGUGAUCGGCCACAUUGGGACUGAGACACGGCCCAAACUCCUACGGGAGGCAGCAGUAGGGAAUCUUCCGCAAUGGACGAAAGUCUGACGGAGCAACGCCGCGUGUGUGAAGAAGGUCUUCGAAUCGUAAAGCACUGUUAUUAGAGAAGAACAACCGGUAGAGUAACUGUUACCGGCUUGACGGUAUCUAACCAGAAAGCCACGGCUAACUACGUGCCAGCAGCCGCGGUAAUACGUAGGUGGCAAGCGUUGUCCGGAUUUAUUGGGCGUAAAGGGAGCGCA